rnacentral:rRNA from 1 species
AAAUAUAUUUAAACUGAGACCUCGUCCAAGGGGAUGGGGUUGGACAAUGCUGAAUGAGGUUGAGAUUAUAGUGCGUAUGCAAGGAUCCGGCGCUGAAUUCACAUCGGUAUCAAGAAGGACAUGUUAUGAUAAUAGCCUCCACUGCCCGUUACACACGUGUUAUCUCCAAUGGAAGUGGCAUCGCGAUUACUAGAUGCUAAUGAGCGCUAAGGAAGAAGUACCUCCGUCAAAGUCGUUCCGUAUUGCUACGUUUGCUUGACAUAUCAAGAGAGCAAAACGAUGAGGUUAGGCAUAUAAGCCUGUCAAAACCAUAGGUUGAACACCCACAGGUUACAUUAUGCGGACAUCGGGUGAGAUAUUCGGGGUACUACUGAACGAGCUGGCAAGUCUUUUGCACCGUUUCUGGCCGUGAUUCCCGCUCCAGGGCGAGCUUGAAAAGUCGUUACGUUCUCGAUAAA